CCCCUGUUAUGCUUUUCUUGUAUACUUUGAGGGGAGGAAUACCAUGCAUUUCGUCCCUUACGGAAACUUCAGAUAUAUUAAGGAAGUAAUCGUCGCCUUAGUAGCGAAGGACUUUUAAUAGAACAUCCCAAAGUAUAAGAUGGGCCUUUAGGUGGGAAGUUGUGCUCUCCUUGUACGAGAGAGGAAAUCGUGAUUCGAGUGGACCAGCUAUCGGAAUCAUGCAGCACCACUGGUUCAGGCAUGCGAUAACUGCGAGAAGAGUGUUUUCUAGUAAUACUUCUUGAAUAGCAUCUUGCUUUAUGGUUUUCCACAUUUAUGCCUCUCUGGUUCUUUAUCAUUAAAUUUACUUUGCUCAUCUUGUUGCAGCAAGUAGGAAGAAUGACGAAACAUGAAAAAAAUAAUGGUAAAAUACUAUGAACAC
rnacentral:lncRNA from 1 species